UUCGUAGGCGGUGCGGCAAGUCGGGAGUGAAAUCUCUGGGCUUAACUCAGAGGCUGCUUCCGAAACUGCCGUGCUCGAGUGUGGGAGAGGCGCGUGGAAUUGCAGGUGUAGCGGUGAAAUGCGUAGAUAUCUGCAGGAACACCCGUGGCGAAAGCGGCGCGCUGGACCACAACUGACGCUGAGGAACGAAAGCUAGGGGAGCAAACAGGAUUAGAUACCCUGGUAGUCCUAGCCCUAAACGAUCAGGACUUGGGGUGGCUUCCGUUCGGAAGUCGUCCCGGAGCUAACGCGUUAAGUCCUGCACCUGGGGAGUACGGUCGCAAGACUGAA
rnacentral:rRNA from 1 species